CCUACGGGGGGCAGCAGUGGGGAAUAUUGCGCAAUGGGCGAAAGCCUGACGCAGCGACGCCGCGUGAGGGAUGAAGGUCUUCGGAUCGUAAACCUCUUUCAGCAGGGAAGAACGGUCACUGUGCUAAUCAGCAGUGAAUUGACGGUACCUGCAAAGGAAGCACCGGCUAACUCCGUGCCAGCAGCCGCGGUAAUACGGAGGGUGCGAGCGUUAAUCGGAAUUACUGGGCGUAAAGCGCACGUAGGCGGUAUGUCAAGUCAAGGGUGAAAUCCCCGCGCUCAACGUGGGAACUGCCUUUGAAACUGGCAAACUGGAGUGUGUGAGAGGAUGGUAGAAUUCCAGGUGUAGGAGUGAAAUGCGUAGAUAUCUGGAGGAACAUCGGUGGCGAAGGCGACUAUCUGGCACAUAACUGACGCUGAGGAGCGAAAGCGUGGGUAGCAAACAGGAUUAGAUACCCCUGUAGUC
rnacentral:rRNA from 1 species